rnacentral:lncRNA from 1 species
GGAGAACAGGGUGCCCUGGAGAACUGCAGGUCAUCUGGUGGGUUCUCACUACAAACAUGAAAAGUCAACGAUGAGAAGGUGGGAGAGAGGCUACAUGGCUGUUCUCUGUAACAGCCCCAACCCUGAGACAAACCACAUCUGAGUUCAUUUCUUCUUUUACAAAGUAGGGAGAAAUCAUCACAUCUGCUCCACUGGUAAGUGGCUACUGAGCUGGGAGCCAGCACUCUCCCAGCCCAGGGUGCAGUCCUCAACACCUGUCCCAGGCCGAGCACAGAGCAGCGGUAUACGAAGCUCCUGGGCCUGGAAAGGGACUUCUCUAUGCUGGUUCCCAAGGUUUGGAGAGUCAAAGCCAUGGGACUGAUGCUGUCCGUCUCCUUAAUCUUUGACUAUUUAAGAUCUUCUUAUAUGUCUUAAGGACUUUCUUUUAACAUAUUCCUAAACAUAUUCAAGCCCAAUAAAAGAAUAUGGAAC